rnacentral:rRNA from 1 species
AGCGAACGCUGGCGGCAGGCCUAACACAUGCAAGUCGAACGGAUCCUUCGGGAUUAGUGGCGGACGGGUGAGUAACACGUGGGAACGUGCCCUUUGGUCCGGAACAACUCAGGGAAACUUGAGCUAAUACCGGAUGUGCCCUUCGGGGGAAAGAUUUAUCGCCAUUGGAGCGGCCCGCGUCUGAUUAGCUAGUUGGUGAGGUAACGGCCCACCAAGGCGACGAUCAGUAGCUGGUCUGAGAGGAUGAUCAGCCACACUGGGACUGAGACACGGCCCAGACUCCUACGGGAGGCAGCAGUGGGGAAUCUUGCGCAAUGGGCGAAAGCCUGACGCAGCCAUGCCGCGUGAAUGAUGAAGGUCUUAGGAUUGUAAAAUUCUUUCAGCGGGGACGAUAAUGACGGUACCCGCAGAAGAAGCUCCGGCUAACUUCGUG